CCUACGGGUGGCAGCAGUCGGGAAUAUUGCGCAAUGGAGGAAACUCUGACGCAGUGACGCCGCGUGCAGGAAGAAGGUUUUCGGAUUGUAAACUGCUUUAGACAGGGAAGAAAAAAGACAGUACAGGAGGAAGAAGCCCCGGCUAACUACGUGCCCGCAGCCGCGGUAAUACGUAGGGGGCAAGCGUAAUCCGGAUUUACUGGGUGUAAAGGGAGCGUAGACGGCAGUUCAAGUCUGCAGUGAAAGGCGGGGGCUCAACCCCCGGACGGCUCUUGAAACUGUACGGCUGGAGUGCAGGAGAGGUAAGUGGAAUUCCUAGUGGAGCGGUGAAAUGCGUAGAUAUUAGGAGGAACACCAGUGGCGAAGGCGGCUUACUGGACUGUAACUGACGUUGAGGCUCGAAAGCGUGGGGAGCAAACAGGAUUAGAUACCCUUGUAGUC
rnacentral:rRNA from 1 species